GUGGGGAAUAUUGGACAAUGGGCGAAAGCCUGAUCCAGCCAUGCCGCGUGUGUGAAGAAGGUCUUCGGAUUGUAAAGCACUUUAAGUUGGGAGGAAGGGCAUUAACCUAAUACGUUAGUGUUUUGACGUUACCGACAGAAUAAGCACCGGCUAACUUCGUGCCAGCAGCCGCGGUAAUACGAAGGGUGCAAGCGUUAAUCGGAAUUACUGGGCGUAAAGCGCGCGUAGGUGGUUAGUUAAGUUGGAUGUGAAAGCCCCGGGCUCAACCUGGGAACUGCAUCCAAAACUGGCGAGCUAGAGUACGGUAGAGGGUGGUGGAAUUUCCUGUGUAGCGGUGAAAUGCGUAGAUAUAGGAAGGAACACCAGUGGCGAAGGCGACCACCUGGACUGAUACUGACACUGAGGUGCGAAAGCGUGGGGAGCAAACAGGAUUAGAUACCCGAGUAGUCC
rnacentral:rRNA from 1 species